UUUUUUUUUUCUUUUCAUAGAUGAUUGGAGACAAAAUAAAUAAAAAAUAAAAUAACCUGUGAUUACCUCUAAGCUAGAAAAUGGGUUGUUUAGUCCACCAACCACACAGUAGUAGUGUAGAAUAAUGAGCAUCAGCUUGUCCAAGUCUAGGACAUAAAAGAAGGUGAUAUUCCUAUUUUAAUUUAGUAAAAUUACUACUUUACCCCUGAGAGAUUUAGAAAUUCUAGGGGGGUCCAGUGCCUCCCUUGGCCCUAGUGUGGCUCCGCCACUGCCUCCGACACACUACCAAGGAGGAGAACUGUAAUUAUA
rnacentral:misc_RNA from 1 species